rnacentral:rRNA from 1 species
AACGAACGCUGGCGGCGUGGAUAAGACAUGCAAGUCGAACGGAAGAUCUUUGGAGCUUGCUUUAAGGGUCUUUAGUGGCGAACGGGUGAGUAACACGUGAGCAACCUGCCUGGAAGUGGGGGAUAGCCCGGGGAAACUCGGAUUAAUACCGCGUGUGGUUCUGCAGGACAUCCUGUGGAAACUAAAGGUGGCGCAAGCUGCCGCUUCCAGAUGGGCUCGCGGCCUAUCAGCUUGUUGGUGAGGUAACGGCUCACCAAGGCUCCGACGGGUAACUGGUCUGAGAGGAUGAUCAGUCACACUGGAACUGAGACACGGUCCAGACACCUACGGGUGGCAGCAGUCGAGAAUCAUUCGCAAUGGGCGAAAGCCUGACGGUGCGACGCCGCGUGGAGGAUGACGGCCCUCGGGUUGUAAACUCCUGUCAUCAGAGAGUAAGGCUCUUGCGAGUAACUGCGCAGGAGAUUGAUAGUAUCUGAAGAGGAAGGGACGGCUAACUUCGUG